UAAAGCGCCUGCGAUGACACCAUGUUUUUCAACCUCCUCCCCGGACUUCGUACUUGCCGACCAAUUGAUCUUUAGCUGCCAUCUGCUGUAUGCAGCAGUAAGUGUUUUGAAAAAAAAAAAGGAAAUAAGACGGAUGCUUGCGCGUUCUACGGUGCGCCAAGGAAGUCGACUCACAUAUUAACUCUCUUGUAACGAAAAAUAAAGUAGCAUGCGAUGUCACUGCCACGCUUUGUUCAUUAAGAGUUAAAAUACAGGCACGAACAUUUGGUUUGUAAUCCUUUUUGUCUUCGCAAAUACCCGAACGCGUAUAUUGUUAAAGUUGACGCAAUUUCUAUGGUUGCAGGCACUGAAGGGCGUGGCAACACUACUCGAACCUUCGGAAUGUUUUAAUUGACGCUCUGCUUGGGUUCAUUUUGAAUGGAGAUCUAUCGGAGGCUGAACUAACCGACGACUAAUCGCCAGGUCGUUCCCCCGCUUGAUCGGUCACAACAGCGAUGGGUGAGCUCGGAGGAUUAGGCGAUGUAGGAUGCAUUGCUAAAGACCACAGUUACGACGAAAAUAAGGAGCCGCCCCCGAUGAAGAAACCGGGAAAUUACUACAAGGGCUUUCAACCUGAAGAGCACGGAUUGCUUCUGCGAGCCACGUGGUGGAUCUACUCUAGCUGGACCGUUGCAGUAUAUUCAGCAGUAUUGUUCGGAUGAUGCGUUGGAGGACCUAACAACAUGCACAUAUAUUUACGUGCUCCAGGUGACCAGAGUUGAACUGAACACUACCAAGGAAGAAAUAAACAUUUUCUUCGGAAUGCUCAUCCGCGUGGGCAAGAUGAA
rnacentral:lncRNA from 1 species